rnacentral:misc_RNA from 1 species
AAAAAAAAAAAGAUAUCACAACAGAAACCCAAAAAGACCCUUGUGUCCAACUCAAGUUAAAAGUACCACAACUAUAAGAAGACAAAAAAGGAAUUGAAAUAUUAGGCAGCAACAAUAGCUUGUGAUGUCCCGCAGAAUGUGAUACUUGAUAAGGUCUUCAUUUGUUUCAUGAAAAAAAUUGACAAUAUUUCUUUUAAAAAA